GAACUACUUGUGAAUUUGUGAUGAUCGUCUUGCAUUUUGUUCAUGUGCCACUGCUUGAAUCUGUCCAGUAUUCUGCACGGAUUGUAUGAUAAUCUCCUGGCCAGGGGUGGUGGUACCUCAACAUGUAAAGUAAAUAAGAAAUUUGCUGCAGCAGUGUUAUAAUUGCAAAUCCCCCCAGCGGUACAGCCAGACUGACAAAAGUAUAAUUGGUUUCCUCUCCAUC
rnacentral:sRNA from 1 species